AACGAACGCUAGCGGCAUGCCUAACACAUGCAAGUCGAACGAGACCUUCGGGUCUAGUGGCGCACGGGUGCGUAACGCGUGGGAACCUGCCCUUAGGCUCGGAAUAACUCCCCGAAAGGGGUGCUAAUACCGGAUAAAGUCUUCGGACCAAAGAUUUAUCGCCUUUGGAUGGGCCCGCGUUGGAUUAGCUAGUUGGUAGGGUAAAAGCCUACCAAGGCGACGAUCCAUAGCUGGUCUGAGAGGAUGAUCAGCCACACUGGGACUGAGACACGGCCCAGACUCCUACGGGAGGCAGCAGUGGGGAAUAUUGGACGAUGGGCGAAAGCCUGAUCCAGCAGUGCCGCGUGAGUGAUGAAGGCCUUAGGGUUGUAAAGCUCUUUUACCCGGGAUGAUAAUGACAGUACCGGGAGAAUAAGCUCCGGCUAACUCCGUG
rnacentral:rRNA from 1 species